rnacentral:rRNA from 1 species
UAAGGAAUAUUGGUCAAUGGACGUAAGUCUGAACCAGCCAUGCCGCGUGAAGGAUGAAGGUCCUCUGGAUUGUAAACUUCUUUUAUCUGGACGAAAACGGGAUUUUUAUCUCAAUUGACGGUACCAGAGGAAUAAGCACCGGCUAACUCCGUGCCAGCAGCCGCGGUAAUACGGAGGGUGCGAGCGUUAUCCGGAUUUACUGGGUUUAAAGGGUGCGUAGGUGGGCUUAUAAGUCAGUGGUGAAAUCUCCGAGCUUAACUUGGAAACUGCCGUUGAUACUAUAGGUCUUGAAUUAUCUGGAGGUAAGCGGAAUAUGUCAUGUAGCGGUGAAAUGCUUAGAUAUGACAUAGAUCACCAAUUGCGAAGGCAGCUUACUACAUAUAAAUUGACGCUGAGGCACGAAAGCGUGGGGAUCAAACA